CACUACGGCGAUGAGCCCUAACAAACCUGUAAUGAUUCUUACCGGUAUGAUAUCUUGUUACGAAGAACAUCUAAGGAACUGAGUUGCA